rnacentral:rRNA from 1 species
AUGAACGCUGGCGGCGUGCUUAACACAUGCAAGUCGAACGGAAAGGCUCCUGCUUGCCGGGGCACUCGAGUGGCGAACGGGUGAGUAACACGUGGGUGAUCUGCCCUGCACUUCGGGAUAAGCCUGGGAAACUGGGUCUAAUACCGGAUAGGACCAUCGUUUAGUGUCGGUGGUGGAAAGUUUUUUCGGUGUGGGAUGAGCUCGCGGCCUAUCAGCUUGUUGGUGGGGUAAUGGCCUACCAAGGCGUCGACGGGUAGCCGGCCUGAGAGGGUGUACGGCCACAUUGGGACUGAGAUACGGCCCAGACUCCUACGGGAGGCAGCAGUGGGGAAUAUUGCACAAUGGGCGCAAGCCUGAUGCAGCGACGCCGCGUGGGGGAUGACGGCCUUCGGGUUGUAAACUCCUUUCGCCAGGGACGAAGCGAAAGUGACGGUACCUGGAUAAGAAGCACCGGCUAACUACGUG